rnacentral:lncRNA from 1 species
CCCUCCUCUCAGGUCCAUGAGAACAGAACUACCCUCCUCUAAGGUCCAUGAGAAGAACAGAACUACCCCUCCUCUCAGGUCCAUGAGAAAACAGAACUACCCCCCUCCUCUCAGGUCCAUGAGAACAGAACUACCCCUCCUCUCAGGUCCAUGAGAACAGAACUACCCCUCCUCUCAGGUCCAUGAGAACAGAACUACCCCUCCUCUUAGGUCCAUGAGAAGAACAGAACUACCCCUCCUCUCAGGUCCAAGAGAACAGAACUACCCCCCUCUCAGGUCCAUGAGAAUAACAGAACUCCCCCUCCUCUCAGGUCCAUGAGAAGAACAGAACUACCCCUCCUCUCAGGUCCAUGAGAA